rnacentral:rRNA from 1 species
GUGGGGAAUCUUGCGCAAUGGGCGAAAGCCUGACGCAGCCAUGCCGCGUGAAUGAUGAAGGUCUUAGGAUUGUAAAAUUCUUUCACCGGGGACGAUAAUGACGGUACCCGGAGAAGAAGCCCCGGCUAACUUCGUGCCAGCAGCCGCGGUAAUACGAAGGGGGCUAGCGUUGCUCGGAAUUACUGGGCGUAAAGGGCGCGUAGGCGGACAGUUUAGUCAGAGGUGAAAGCCCAGGGCUCAACCUUGGGAUUGCCUUUGAUACUGGCUGUCUUGAGUACGGGAGAGGUGAGUGGAACUCCGAGUGUAGAGGUGAAAUUCGUAGAUAUUCGGAAGAACACCAGUGGCGAAGGCGACUCACUGGCCCGUUACUGACGCUGAGGCGCGAAAGCGUGGGGAGCAAACAGGAUUAGAAACCCCUGUAGUCC